GAUGAAGAACGUAGCGAAAUGCGAUAAGUAAUGUGAAUUGCAGAAUUCAGUGAAUCAUCGAAUCUUUGAACGCACAUUGCGCCCGCUAGUAUUCUGGCGGGCAUGCCUGUCCGAGCGUCAUUUCAACCCUCAAGCCCCCGGGCUUGGUGUUGGGGAUCGGCGAGCCUCCGCGCCCCCCGUCCCCUAAAUCUAGUGGCGGUCUCGCUGUAGCUUCCUCUGCGUAGUAGCACACCUCGCACUGGGAAACAGCGCGGCCACGCCGUUAAACCCCCAACUUCUGAACGUUUGACCUCGGAUCAGGUAGGAAUACCCGCUGAACUUAAGCAUAUCAAUAAGCGGAGGA
rnacentral:misc_RNA from 1 species